rnacentral:rRNA from 1 species
UACGUAGGGUGCAAGCGUUGUCCGGAAUUAUUGGGCGUAAAGAGCUCGUAGGCGGUCUGUCGCGUCUGCUGUGAAAACUCGGGGCUUAACCCCGGGCCUGCAGUGGGUACGGGCAGACUAGAGUGCGGUAGGGGGGACUGGAAUUCCUGGUGUAGCGGUGAAAUGCGCAGAUAUCAGGAGGAACACCGGUGGCGAAGGCGGGUCUCUGGGCCGUAACUGACGCUGAGGAGCGAAAGCGUGGGGAGCGAACAGG